UAACCUUUAAACCACAAUUAAAAAAUGAAUGGAAGGGUCCUUGUAAACUUAACUUAGUUGGUAGAAACAAUGCAUAAUAUAUGUAGAGUCAGGGUUCAAAACCUGACACUCUACUUCUCGACAUUUAAAAAAUAUACUUGAAAAUAAAAUGAAUGGAAGGAGAAUGAAGCAUGAGGAAAUUGUGAAGUUGUUGGUCAUUUCUCAACCAAG
rnacentral:lncRNA from 1 species